rnacentral:rRNA from 1 species
CUACGGGGUGCUGCAGUGGGGAAUAUUGCACAAUGGGGGAAACCCUGAUGCAGCCAUGCCGCGUGUAUGAAGAAGGCCUUCGGGUUGUAAAGUACUUUCAGCAGUGAGGAAGGGUGAUAAAUUAAUACUUUAUCAUUUUGACGUUAGCUGCUGAAGAAGCACCGGCUAACUCCGUGCCAGCAGCCGCGGUAAUACGGAGGGUGCGAGCGUUAAUCGGAAUUACUGGGCGUAAAGCGCAUGCAGGUGGUCUGUUAAGUCAGAUGUGAAAGCCCGGGGCUUAACCUCGGAAUCGCAUUUGAAACUGGCAGGCUAGAGUACUGUAGAGGGGGGUAGAAUUUCAGGUGUAGCGGUGAAAUGCGUAGAGAUCUGAAGGAAUACCGGUGGCGAAGGCGGCCCCCUGGACAGAUACUGACACUCAGAUGCGAAAGCGUGGGGAGCAAACAGGAUUAGAUACCCGAGUAGUC